rnacentral:rRNA from 1 species
ACGGGUGAGUAACGCGUGGGAAUCUACCUUUUGCUACGGAAUAACGCAUGGAAACGUGUGCUAAUACCGUAUGUGCCCUUCGGGGGAAAGAUUUAUCGGCAAAGGAUGAGCCCGCGUUGGAUUAGCUAGUUGGUGGGGUAAAGGCCUACCAAGGCGACGAUCCAUAGCUGGUCUGAGAGGAUGAUCAGCCACAUUGGGACUGAGACACGGCCCAAACUCCUACGGGAGGCAGCAGUGGGGAAUAUUGGACAAUGGGCGCAAGCCUGAUCCAGCCAUGCCGCGUGAGUGAUGAAGGCCUUAGGGUCGUAAAGCUCUUUCACCGGUGAAGAUAAUGACGGUAACCGGAGAAGAAGCCCCGGCUAACUUCGUGCCAGCAGCCGCGGUAAUACGAAGGGGGCUAGCGUUGUUCGGAUUUACUGGGCGUAAAGCGCACGUAGGCGGAUCGAUCAGUCAGGGGUGAAAUCCCAGGGCUCAACCCUGGAACUGCCUUUGAUACUGUCGAUCUGGAGUAUGGAAGAGGUGAGUGGAAUUCCGAGUGUAGAGGUGAAAUUCGUAGA